ACGGGAGGCAGCAGUGGGGAAUAUUGCACAAUGGGGGAAACCCUGAUGCAGCGACGCCGCGUGAGUGAAGAAGUAUUUCGGUAUGUAAAGCUCUAUCAGCAGGAAAGAAAAUGACGGUACCUGACUAAGAAGCCCCGGCUAACUACGUGCCAGCAGCCGCGGUAAUACGAGGGGUGCAAGCGUUGUUCGGAAUCACUGGGCGUAAAGGGAGCGCAGGCGGAGAUGCAAGCAGUCUGUACAAUACCGGGGCCCAACCCCGGACCUGCAGACUGGACUGUUUCUCUUGGAUAGCUCAGGGGCUGGCGGAAUUCCUGGUGUAGCGGUGGAAUGCGUAGAGAUCAGGAAGAACACCGAUGGCGAAGGCAGCCAGCUGGGGGCUUAUCGACGCUCAUGCUCGAAAGUGCGGGUAGCAAACAGGAUUAGAUACCCUGGUA
rnacentral:rRNA from 1 species